GGGCUGCAUCGCCGUGGGCUGGAGGAGCCGCUCCGGGCCGGGCGCUGGGGCCGAGCCCGGCGCUGCUGCUCCUGCUCCGACUGUGCCCGGUGCGGGACGGGACCCUGCCCGGGCUCGGUUCUGCUCAGGCCGCUCAUCCAACACCUGCCAGAGCACAGGAUAUUCUGUGUUGGAAAGACCCACGAGGGUUGUCAAGUCAAAUGAUGGUAGGUGACUGGCCCAUGUGGGCAUUAAACUCAGAAUCCUGGAGUUCUCAGCACCCUGCUCCAAGCACCUGAGCCCAUCUCAGGGUCACGAGAAAGGUCCUGCCUGGGAUGGGAACAGCUGCUGCCAGCAAGGGAAUUCCUGUGCAAAUCAGUAAAUGUUCUGCUAAUGCUGCUUUGCACACCAGCCUCUGGAAUGGCUCUAGGGUAGAACGGGCUGGCAUCUGACACGACAGCACAAAACUCUUCCAGUAAUCCUGAUUAUUUUGUCUUUUCCAGCAUUUCCUAAAUAGCUGUAGAGGUGCUGAUGCCAUGUCCCUUUCCAGGGAGAAAUGAGCAAGUGCUGAGGGUUCCCUUGGUCCCAGGCCGAGGUUCUUCUGCAGGGUGUCAGGGCUGGUCCCGCCUGCAGAGGGGCGUUUCCUGCAGGGGAGGAGCUGCGCCUCAGUGCCCUGCCCGUGCGGGCAGCGUGCCAGGCACACCCCGGGGCGGGCACUGGGAUGCCCGGGCAGCGCUGGGAUGGGCACGGAUCAAGGGCUGCCCGCGGCUCCUGGGCCAGGGGCUGCUCUGAACGGGCCCCGGAGAUGCUGCAGCCCGGACAGAGCCCCCUGACAUCCCAACAACACCCCAAGGAACAGCUGCCAUUGCCUGGGAGUGCUGCACGCUGGGCUUGCAGAGGAGCUCAGACAGCAAUUCCCAGUGCCACCUCCUGGAGCUCCCACACAGCCACCAGUGAGAAGAACAUGAACUCACCACCACUGAGGCCUGGCAGUUCCCUGCAGCGAGAGCUCAGUGCACAUCCACAGAGGCAAUUCCAGCAUCUAAAAGAAAGAAAAGAAGAAAAAGG